rnacentral:rRNA from 1 species
AUUGAACGCUGGCGGCAUGCCUUACACAUGCAAGUCGAACGGUAACGCGGGGCAACCUGGCGACGAGUGGCGAACGGGCGAGUAAUGCAUCGGAACGUGCCUGGUAGUGGGGGAUAACUGCUCGAAAGAGCAGCUAAUACCGCAUACGACCUGAGGGUGAAAGGGGGGGAUCGCAAGACCUCUCGCUAUCAGAGCGGCCGAUGUCGGAUUAGCUAGUUGGUGGGGUAAAGGCCCACCAAGGCGACGAUCCGUAGCUGGUCUGAGAGGACGACCAGCCACACUGGGACUGAGACACGGCCCAGACUCCUACGGGAGGCAGCAGUGGGGAAUUUUGGACAAUGGACGAAAGUCUGAUCCAGCCAAGCCACGUGCGGGAAGAAGGCCUUCGGGUUGUAAACCGCUUUUGUCAGGGAAGAAAUCUUCUGGGUUAAUACCUCGGGAGGAUGACGGUACCUGAAGAAUAAGCACCGGCUAACUACGUGCCAGCAGCCGCGGUAAAAC